CCUCAACUCCGGCCCUACCCCAACGCGGCCCGGAUCGCCGACUCCUCCUGCUUCCCCCAGUACACCGCCUCCCUCAAGUGUCUGGAGACCAACCAGGACAAGAGCAAGUGCCAGUAGCAGUUCGACAACUAUAAGGAGUGCAAGAAGAGAGAGGUUCACCUUUGUUUCCCCAAUUCUCUCUAG
rnacentral:rRNA from 1 species